GGCACUGAGGGAUGUGGACAGUGGGCACGGUGGAGUGGGUUGAUGGUUGGAGUUGAUGUUCUUAGAGGGUUUUUCCAACCAGAAUGAUUCUAUGAUUCUAUAAUUCUAUUAUUAAAACUCAUCCAGGCCCAAACCCUGCCAUGGGCAAGGACACCAAACCAGACAGCCCAAAGGAUUUAAGGAUUUAUGACAGCAAUCAGAAACGUGGCACCUUGCAAACAAGCGUCUGGGGCUGGAAGGAUAUAUACUGAAGGGGAAACAAUGGGAAAGCAAAUGAAACAAGGAAGAACGUUCUGGACCAACGGCCAGAAUUGAGCCACAGGACUUGGGAUAGAAAGAAAAGAGGCGUGAGGAGAGGAAGGGCUGCAUUGUAGUGGAGAAAUGGUCUGGAGGGAGAGAGGCUCAGGCUAAAACCUCACCCAGAAAAUGUAGAGGUCUUCAGCCUCCGACAUGAGAUCUAUGCUCUUUGCCCUGGAUUACACACAGAACCUUGGAAGCUGAGGAGCCCCAGGAGACAUUUGCAGUGGUAGAUGACAAAUCAAGGUCAGCAUGAAACACCAAGUGACCUGGGAUGGGACCAGCGUACUUUCAAAAGGAGAAGCAGCCUAUGAGAAAACAGCUUUUCCUCAGCAGCAUCUCCCUUGCAAAUGCUCCUUGUUCCACAUCCAGAAGUUUGCCAGAGCUGGAUAAAGCUGAUUUCCUCCCCUGGUGGCAGCAGCGGAUGCAGAGAACAAUAGGUACGGUGCCUGCUCAGGGAACAACUCCUGCUCCCCUGUGCCAUGCCCAGCCCUCAGCUGGGGAUGGAGGGACCCGAGGGAAAAGCCAGCUCCAGAGGAGUGGCUUGGAAAAGAACAUUGCAAAAAUUCAUGGAAAGCAGUGAUUGAAUGAAGAAUGAGGUCAUGCAUCUGUUCCAGGAAACGUGCAGCAAAAUAUGUGUUUACUGCAGAAAUUUUAUGAAAUGGAUAAAAAUAAAAGAAUCUCAUCCCUAGAAAGAUGCAGGAGAUCAGAGGUACCUGAGGGCAAGCAGCCACAGAGCUGUGACCAGCCCCAGGAGCCCCUUUUUGGUGUCUGAUCACUGAUGUGAAACUGCAUAUUGCAAAAUCUGCAGCAGGACAUAUCCAGUUAUCACUGUCUCUAGGUAAUGUAGAUAAAACGUUUGCUUUUUUAUUUUUCCCUUAACAGUGGAUAGUGAAAGAGUCUUUAAUCCUCCCAACGUGGGCUGACUGCAUCUGGUUGCUCGUCAGCAUCCACCCUGGGCCACCACAGUCUCAGGCUCUAUUUGGGAUUACACACCUCCCCAAAAGCUGUUCUCCAGUUUGGCUGGUGCGGUUAUCCAUCCCAAAUGCAGCUCUUUACUUCUCCAAGUUUGGUCUAGCUCCUUCCAAAUUAUCACUGUGAAUUUAUUCAGAUCGUUGCUAGUCGUCUGCCUUCCAGACGCCUUGCAGCCCUCCCAGCCCAGAGUUAUUGUAAUGCACUCCUCAGUCAAUCAUCUGGGUUGCUAAUGCAAAUUUUGUAUGCCUGGGCACCAGACCCCCUGCAGUUUGGCAGAGAGCAUCCAAAGCCAUACACUGAGCAUGAGAUGUCUCCUGUGCACUGUGUACCCACUGCAUGGCUUUCGUCUGGCUCUCGAGGGUGACCAGGAGAUGUGGGAUGAACGGUCUCUGAGCUUUGGGGAUGCAGCAGAUCCUUUCCAUGCAAUGUCAGAGGUUAGCCAUGUUUAGCUAUUUAGAGCUUGGCAGUGUGUAGGAAGGAGGGAGAAAGCAUAAGGGACCGGCGUAUGUUCAGAUGCUCCAUAACGAUGUCAUCUGAAGAUGAUUUACAUCGGAGCUGGGACAUAUGCUGUGCUUUAUCACCGCCGUCAUCUACCAGGAUGCGUGCUGCCACCUGAUUACAUGCCCACAUUUCUUCUUCUUGGCUUUACUCUUCACUCAUUCCCUGCAGAGGCACUGACUGUGGGUCCUCAAGGUGGAGCAAUGCUGUCCUGGAGUUAUGGAAUCUCCUUGCCUUGGGAGCCAAUGCACCUCUUAGCACCCAGGUGCUAAAAUCCAUCAGGACUGACUCCUGGGAAGGGAAAAAGG